rnacentral:rRNA from 1 species
UACGUAGGGUGCAAGCGUUAAUCGGAAUUACUGGGCGUAAAGCGUGCGCAGGCGGUUGUGCAAGACCGAUGUGAGAUCCCCGGGCUUAACCUGGGAAUGGCAUUGGUGACUGCACGGCUAGAGUGUGUCAGAGGGGGGUAGAAUUCCACGUGUAGCAGUGAAAUGCGUAGAGAUGUGGAGGAAUACCGAUGGCGAAGGCAGCCCCCCUGGGAUAACACUGACGCUCAUGCACGAAAGCGUGGGGAGCAAACAGG